UACGUAGGUGGCGAGCGUUGUCCGGAUUUAUUGGGUUUAAAGGGUGCGUAGGCGGCCCCGUAAGUCAGUGGUGAAAUACGGCAGCUCAACUGUCGAGGUGCCAUUGAUACUGCGGGGCUUGAGUACAGUCGAGGUAGGCGGAAUUGACGGUGUAGCGGUGAAAUGCUUAGAUAUCGUCAAGAACACCGAUAGCGAAGGCAGCUUGCUAGGCUGUAACUGACGCUGAGGCACGAAAGUGCGGGGAUCAAACAGG
rnacentral:rRNA from 1 species